rnacentral:misc_RNA from 1 species
GAUGAAGAACGUAGCGAAAUGCGAUAAGUAAUGUGAAUUGCAGAAUUCCGUGAAUCAUCGAAUCUUUGAACGCACAUUGCGCCCGCCAGUAUUCUGGCGGGCAUGCCUGUUCGAGCGUCAUUUCAACCCUCAAGCCCCCGGGCUUGGUGUUGGGGAUCGGCCGCCCUCCGGCGCGCCGGCCCCGAAAUCUAGUGGCGGUCUCGCUGUAGCCUCCUCUGCGUAGUAGCACACCUCGCACCGGAACGCAGCCUGGCCACGCCGUUAAACCCCCCACUUCUGAAGGUUGACCUCGGAUCAGGUAGGAAUACCCGCUGAACUUAAGCAUAUCAAUAAACGGAGGA